UGACAUAAACCAUAAGAAACCUGCCUC
rnacentral:piRNA from 1 species